rnacentral:sRNA from 1 species
GCCAGGUGUGGUGGUGCACACCUGUAAUCCCAGCAGCUUGGGAGGCUAAGGCAGGAGAAUAGCAGUUCAAAGCCAGUCUCAACAACACAGCAAGGCUCUAAGCAACUUAGAGAGAUCCUGUCUCUA